AGAGUUUGAUCCUGGCUCAGGACGAACGCUGGCGGCGUGCUUAACACAUGCAAGUCGAGCGGAAAGGCCCUUCGGGGUACUCGAGCGGCGAACGGGUGAGUAACACGUGAGCAACCUGCCCCUGGCUCUGGGAUAGCUCCGGGAAACCGGGAUUAAUACCGGAUAUGACCCUCUCGUGCAUGCGUGGGGGUGGAAAGUUU
rnacentral:rRNA from 1 species